GCUGGAAAAUUCGAAAGGCACUAGACUCGUGUAUGUUCUAUUGGGAUGAAAACAGAAAAACUGCCUUUCAGCUUUGUCUCCUUCGGAUCUGCCACCAACCUUGCAUUUUCGUGGGGUUUUUUUUUUGCGUGUCUUUUUGGCACGUGACAAUCAGGUCCGUAUAUACUAGUGACAGCUAACAGUGCUUGGCCUCUGCUACCCAGACCCGGUGACGUCCCAAGGUCCCGGCCCUGUUGCCCAACAGUGAUCAAAACCGCAGCUUCCCAUUUGCACGGUUACUGGUUUGUUUCAGACUCUAGCUUGGAUGAACUAACUGUGCGGCGGCACGGUCUGAUCCGGGUUCUGGCCGGUCCCCGGUGCCCACACAGCGUCAGCGACACAACUUGCUCACCAGCACCAGAGAAUCUCAGCCCCGUGGGUGCCGUUCCCCAUGGGAUUUCUAAAGGUUGAAGGCACCUUCCUCCUCCUGGGACCUCAGGCGUCUGGGGCGCUAGGCUUCUCGGAGGCCGCAGACGCACCGGCGCGGGGACCGGAGCCCUUGCUGUGUGACGAUGGCCGGCGCGGGUUCUCCCCGUGCUGAGGAUCUGAAAUGAGAGUCCGGGGGUCAAGCCCAGAAGACGUGAUCACCAUGAUUCAGCGGGUCCCUCGGAGACCUCGCAUUUGCCUGAGAUUCUGUAAAGAGAGGUCCGAGGAAGGAGACAGGACCGCCCACACCUGCCUCAGGGUACCCAGGGCUUGGGAUGUAAUCUGGGUGAGUCAACAGAGACCCUGGUUAUUAUUCCCGAUGUGUCCAGACUCCCACGUCGGUUUGCAAUGGCCUUUCCUGAAAUGCACGUCGUGCCGACAGUGUAACCAAACCUAGAUAAACAUCUGCCGAGCACCUGACGUGUGUCAGAUGCUUCCGGGUGCCUUGAGCGAGCCUGGACGCCCUCACUCAAGUCUGCUUCAUGGGAGGAAGGCGAGACAUUCGAUGGAUAAGCUCGAGGACGGAAGGGAUGCUUGAGAGUCUGAAGCAGAAGAAAAGACACACACUGUCCCCUUGGGCGCACCCAUGCAGCUGACGUUUCCGUUUGUGUUAAAUAAACUUAUUCAUUCA